UUUUGGGUAUAUACCCAACAGCGGGAUUGCUGGAUCAUAUGGUAGUUCAAGUUUUAGUUUUUUGAGGAACCUACAAACCGUUCUCCAUAGUGGCUGUGUCAAUUUACAUUC